GGCAUCUGGGCAUUGCACCGACCACCAAAAAACGCAGUUUAGAUAGCCGGCACCAAGCCACCCGGAAGGAAACAGCAAAGCACCAAUCACAAGCGAGAUCACUAAUGCCAAAGGCCGUCAUUUCCUCCCUCCAUCGGCUGGCCAUGGCGGAGCACGGAGCUGAAUGUCGCUGGCUGGCAUCGCCACACCCAAGCGUGCUCGCUCGGUCUCGUCGCAUCUCCAUCGACGGAGAGGACAGUUAUGCACAUGCAUCUGAAGAAAUUGUCACCCCUUUUUGCCGCUCUCUGGUGCACAUUGCAAGUGUUUUCGUGGCGAAGAAGCAGGCAGCGUGCUUCCUGUAUUCUUACCCAAGAUGGCUGUGUGGCGCCGACACAAUCUCCUGACACAACUUACCUGACACAACUUACCACAGCCCUGAUAUUUUCUUCUUUAUGGAACAUUGUGAAAGUAGAGACUUGGAGCAAGUCUAACCGAUCACCCGCCUUUCCGUAACCGGAAGCAGCAAGCACCAAUCACAGGCGAGAUCACAAACGGCCUCCAUGAGCUGGCCACGUGCACGUUUCUUGUGCCCGGCAUCACCAACAUGCUGGUUCUGUCUGGUCAAAUCUCCAUUGCUGGUCAGGGACAGCUGCCUGCUGACCCGAUGUCACACAACCACGGCCCUCUCCCCCCUGGCUCCCACUCCCAAGGAAACAGUUCAUUGUCUCAUCUUUUUUAUCUUUAAAAUCUCUUCUUUUUUCUAAACACGUAACCUUAAAGUUAAUAACGUUGUCCGCACUAGUCAUUCAUGUUACCAGUUGAUUAUAACCCUGUUGACAGUACUGUAAUUUUUCUAGUAUCCUGAACGAGGAAAAAUCCCAUAUUAACACCUUAUUUAUAUAUUUCAAUUAAAUUCAAUUUGUAGUUUGAUAUCAGGGCAUUAACAUUUGUAUAUUAAUUAUGGUUUAUCUUUCUUCCUUUGGCUGUCAAUUAGUUGUGUUCAUUGUGUUGGACAUUGUUGCAGACCCAGACCAACAUGGCUGUGCAGCCACUGACAUGACCUCUCCACACAUCCUUCUGACACAGCCUCCUGACACAUCCUUCUGACACAGCCUUCUGACACAGCCUUCUGACACAGCCUCCUGACACAGCCUCCUGACACAGCCUCCUGACACAUCCUUCUGACACAGCCUUCUGUCACAUCCUUCAGACAAACCUCACAGCAACUUGAUAUUUACUUCAAGAUGGAAGAUUGUGUAAGGACCAUACUCUCUACCUGAAGACGUUUGACAAAUGUCUAACAGUUGGGGAGAGCUCGUCUCUCCAAAUGGCGACGUGCGAUGGAAAUUUGAAUCAAAGAUGGAUGUUCGAGAAAUCAAAAUUUGAAAACCAACAGAUAAACCGUCAUUCAUGAACACAUUCAUCAUUCAGAACAGACGCCGAAAUUCGCUGUGCAGAGUUGCGUCCCUUCGGCACGCCAGAAACCUAUGAUUGUGGGUUCGAAUCCCGGUUCGCCUUGAUUAUGUCUUAGGUUUGUCAGCACCAU